UGUCUCCAGGACUCAAGCCCUGCCUGGCCUAACGCUCUGGGAAAUGAAGCCAUUCAAUAAAAACUUUUGAUAUUAGUUUUUAUAGGUAUUUACACUUCGUGAGGGGAGCUAAGGAGUUAAUCAGCCCCCAACCUUGGGUUUGGAUACUCAGUUUAU
rnacentral:lncRNA from 1 species